GGUUACUGCUAUCGGGGUCCGACUAAGCCAUGCGAGUUGAGAGGGGUAAGCCCUCGGCAUACUGCUCAGUAACACGCGGAUAACCUGCCCUUGGGUCCGGGAUAACCCCGGGAAACUGGGACUAAUACCGGAUAGAUCAGAGAAACUGGAAUGUUCUCUGGUUCAAAACUCCGGUGCCCAAGGAUGGGUCUGCGGCCUAUCAGGUAGUAGUGGGUGUAACGUACCUACUAGCCAGCGACGGGUAAGGGUUGUGAGAGCAAGAUCCCUGAGAUGGAUUCUGAGACAUGAAUCCAGGCCCUACGGGGUGCAGCAGGCGCGAAAACUUUACACUGCGGGAAACCGCGAUAAGGGGACCCCGAGUGCCAGCACCUAGUGCUGGCUGUCCUACUGUCUAAAUAACAGUGGUUAGCAAGGGCCGGGCAAGACCGGUGCCAGCCGUCGCGGUAACACCGGCGGCCCGAGUGGUAACCGUUUUUAUUGGGUUUAAAGGGUCCGUAGCCGGCUUACUAAGUCUCUUGGGAAAUCUGGCGGCUCAAUCGUCAGGCGGCCAAGAGAUACUGGUAGGCUUGGGACCGGGAGAGGUGGGAGGUACUCCAGGGGUAGGGGUGAAAUCUCGUAAUCCUUGGGGGACCACCGAUGACGAAGGCAUCCCACCAGAACGGGUCCGACGGUGAGGGACGAAAGCUGGGGGCACGAACCGGAUUAGAUACCCGGGUAGUCCCAGCUGUAAACGAUGCUCGCUAGGUGUCAGGUGCGGUGCGACCGCAUCUGGUGCCGCAGUGAAAACUUGAAGCGAGUCACCUGGGAAGUACGGUCGCAAGGCUGAAACUUAAAGGAAUUGGCGGGGGAGCACUACAACGGGUGGAGCCUGCGGUUC
rnacentral:rRNA from 1 species